GGGAAUAUUGGACAAUGGGGGCAACCCUGAUCCAGGCAUGCCGCGUGAGUGAUGAAGGCCUUCGGGUUGUAAAGCUCUUUUGGCGGGGACGAUGAUGACGGUACCCGCAGAAUAAGCUCCGGCUAACUUCGUGCCAGCAGCCGCGGUAAUACGAAGGGAGCUAGCGUUGUUCGGAAUUACUGGGCGUAAAGGGCGCGUAGGCGGUUUGGCAAGUUAGGUGUGAAAGCCCUGGGCUCAACCCGGGAACUGCACUUAAUACUGCUUUACUUGAAUUCGGUAGAGGUUGGUAGAAUUCCCAGUGUAGAGGUGAAAUUCGUAGAUAUUGGGAAGAAUACCCGUGGCGAAGGCGGCCAACUGGACCGACAUUGACGCUGAGGCGCGAAAGCGUGGGGAUCAAA
rnacentral:rRNA from 1 species